GCUUGUCUCAAAGAUUAAGCCAUGCAUGUCUAAGUAUAAACGAAUCUAUACUGUGAAACUGCGUACGGCUCAUUAAACCAGUUAUAGUUUAUUUGAUAUUCCCCUACUACUCGGAUACCCGUAGUAAUUCUUGAGCUAAUACAUGCGAAAAAUCUCGACUCACGGAGAGAUGCUUUUAUUAGAUCAAAACCAAACGGCUUCGGCCGUCUCAUUGGUGACUCUGAAUAACUUUGGGCUGAUCGUAUGGCCUUGUGCCGACGACGUUUCCUUCGAAGGUGUGCCCUAUCAACUGUCGACUGUGAUAUAGACGCUCACAGUGGUUUUGACGGGUAACGGGGAAUCAGGGUUCGAUUCCGGAGAGGGAGCCUUAAAAACGGCUACCACAUCCAAGGAAGGCAGCAGG
rnacentral:rRNA from 1 species